ACGUGUGUAUGUGGGCUUAUGUGUAACAAAAGCGUGGCGUGAGCCCAUUUACAUGUGUGU
rnacentral:pre_miRNA from 1 species